AGAGUUUGAUCCUGGCUCAGAGUGAACGCUGGCGGCGUGCCUAACACAUGCAAGUCGAACGAGAACGGAUAUAAGUUUACUUAUAUUGUCAGCUAAGUGGCGCACGGGUGAGUAAUAUAUAGUUAAUCUGCCCUGAAGAAGAGAAUAAUUGUUGGAAACGACUUGUAAUGCUCUAUAUGCCUUUAUCACAUAAGUGAGCAAGGGAAAUAUUUAUAGCUUCGGGAUGAGACUGUACGGUAUCAGCUAGUUGGUGAGGUAAUGGCUCACCAAGGCUAUGACAUCUAACUGGUUUGAGAGGAUGAUCAGUCACACUGGAACUGAGACACGGCCCAGACUCCUACGGGAGGCAGCAGUGGGGAAUAUUGCACAGUGGAGGAAACUCUGAUGCAGCAACGCCGCGUGGAGGAUGACACAUUUCGGUGCGUAAACUCCUUUUAUUAGGGAAGAUAAUGACGGUACCUAAUGAAUAAGCACCGGCUAACUCCGUGCCAGCAGCCGCGGUAAUACGGGGGGUGCAAGCGUUACUCGGAAUCACUGGGCGUAAAGAGCAUGUAGGCUGAUUAGUAAGUUGGAAGUGAAAUCCUAUGGCUCAA
rnacentral:rRNA from 1 species